CCUACGGGUGGCAGCAGUGAGGAAUAUUGGUCAAUGGGCGCGAGCCUGAACCAGCCAAGUCGCGUGAGGGAGGACGGCCCUACGGGUUGUAAACCUCUUUUGCCGGGGAGCAACGGGCGCCACGUGUGGCGUCACUGAGAGUACCCGGAGACAAAGCAUCGGCUAACUCCGUGCCAGCAGCCGCGGAAAUACGUAGGUGGCAAGGGUUAUCCGGAUUUACUGGGUGUAAAGGGCGUGUAGGCGGGAAAGCAAGUCAGAUGUGAAAACCAUGGGCUCAACCUGUGGCCUGCAUUUGAAACUGUUUUGCUUGAGUACUGGAGAGGCAGACGGAAUUCCUGGUGUAGCGGUGAAAUGCGUAGAUAUUAGGAGGAACACCAGUGGCGAAGGCGGUCUGCUGGACAGCAACUGACGCUGAGGCGCGAAAGCGUGGGGAGCAAACAGGAUUAGAUACCCUGGUAGUC
rnacentral:rRNA from 1 species